rnacentral:rRNA from 1 species
AUUGAACGCUGGCGGCAGGCCUAACACAUGCAAGUCGAGCGAGCGGCGGACGGGUGAGUAAUGUCUGGGCAACUGCCUGAUGGAGGGGGAUAACUACUGGAAACGGUAGCUAAUACCGCAUACCAUCAGAUGUGCCCAGAUGGGAUUAGCUAGUAGGUGGGGUAACGGCUCACCUAGGUGACGAUACCUAGCUGGUCUGAGAGGAUGACCAGCAACACUGGAACUGAUACACUGUCCAGACGCUUCCGGGAGGCAUGAGUGGGGAAUAUCGUAAAAUGGGCGCAAGCCUGAAGCAGCCAUGCCGGUUGGGUGAAGUAGGCCUUCGGGUUGUAAUGCACUUUCAGCGGGAAGGCGUUGCACGCAGAAGAAGCACCGGGCAACUCCGUGCUAGCAGCCGCGGUAAUUC